rnacentral:rRNA from 1 species
CCUGACCUCGAUUCAAGCGUGAAUACCCGCUGAACUUAAGCA